UCUUUGCUGCAGCCUCCACCUCUUUUGGCCUCUUCACCUGAGGGCCUCCCCCUUUCAGAGCCUCCUGUGACGGCUUCAGCUCCAACUCUCCCGUUAAUGUUUUAUGGAGGGCCGGGUCAACUUUCUACCAAGGAAAGCAAAGUGAACACAAACAGAAAACACCAAUGUGAGUAUCAUUUAU